GCAGUGUUUUCCGACCGUUGCGUGUUAUUACUUUGGUUGCUAUGCAAAGUUUUAAUAUGUUGGUUCAAUAAUAUAAACACAUUUUCAUGUGUUUGAAGCAUAGGUGUAGCAACGUAUCUCUUUGGUGAAGGAUACCUUUCACCAAAGUUUCAGAUUGGUGAAGGAUCCUUCACCAAUCUUGGACAAUGCAAGGGAGGGUCUUCACCUACCUAUGCUUAGAACUACUGGAUUCGACGGUUGAUCAAAUGUCUGUUUUUUAACCCGCGCCCGGCUGGGGGUCCUGGAUUUCCACGCCCUGCUGGGGGGGGGGGGGGUGUUUGAACACCCCCCCCCCCUUCUAACUCGGCUCCUGGGCCACGUAGCGAUACGCGGAAGGCGGCGUUCGAAAGAGCGCCAAAAAUAAUGACGAAAUCACUUCGGUCACUUUUUUGGUCAGGUCAAAGGUCAGGUCACUAGAGGUCAUUGAAGGCAAAAUUUCGCCGAUUUCCAGGUCGAAUGUCGACAAUUUCCAAGAAGCCAACGCAUAGCUCGGGAACCAAUAGAGCUACAGCGCCACGGAAAAGCGCAUUCGAUGGCCCUAUUAACGCCCUUUCUGAGUAAUUCGCUCAGAUUUGACCUAACGUCAACGGUUUUGCCUGCAGGGGGCAAAAACUGCCAAAAUAGACGAUUUUUCGGGAACAGUUUUUUUCUGCAAUAACUUUUGACCCAAGCCUUGCACGAGCUUUCUUUUACCGACAUCGUGUUCCUCUUGUCGCAUCGAAUGAACUAUAAUUUGACAUUGAAAGUUCAACUUAAAAAUUUGACCUCUGCUCUGGUCAAGGUCAUGAUUUGACCGGACAUUGUCAUGUUGCAUAUCAGUGGAUCUGUAUCGUCGAGCUGAACAUAUAUAAGACGUUUUCAUCGCUCUAGCGUGCCUCUUUCAAAAGUUAGUCGCAAAAAACUGCUAGAUACCAUUCGUGACCUGAGAUGACCUCAGGGGCAUAAACAGGGGUCACGGGUGCCGUUUUCAUGUUCAGUGUGUCAAAGUUACUUGUAAUUUAGUGUUUGAGAGUGUUUAGAAUGACUUUCGUCCGAAAAGGACGGUUUUGAAUUUUCUCCCAUUGACUUAUAAUACCUAGAGAGGUCGCAAAAUUGACCCGACCCUAGGUCACCGAUAUGAAAAUUCCGAAUUUUGUACAUACUGUUGCACUUAUCAAUUGCUGAAAGCUUCAAAGCGAUCCGUCACUUGGUGUAGCUAUGGCAUACAUUGAAACAUUUUAUGAUGUGUUUAUGAGGUGAGGUCACUAGUAGCGACCUGGUGACCUGACCUUGAAGGACCCUGGUCUGAAAUUUUCACAAAAUGUAUAACAUUUGUAGAUGAUAAGGUGCCGCCGUUUUUCAGAUAUCCGCGAAAAACCGCAGGGGGGUGGGUGAGUGUUCAAGUUAACCCCCCCUCCCAGCAGGGCGCGGGUUAACACACUUUGACCAUUUGCCCCAGUAGUCAAAAUUCCUUAGCCGAGGCCCUGAUUUACAUCUUGCUGUCAUGGCAAGAUGCACAAUUCAAUUUUAGGCAGGCAUUGAAAAUUUGACGUUAAUGGGAUGAUAAGGGCGUAAGAUAUCUGCGAAAAACAAUGGGUUGGCGAAAUUGCCCCCCCCCCCCCCGCUUGCACUAUGCGUGUUGGUUGGCACGGUCCUGUCCCUUUUCAUAAGGUUCAGGUGGCAUCCUUCACCAAUAUUUUUGGCGCUCCUACACCCAUGGUUUGAAGGUCGCAAAAGCUUAACAUAAGUGGCAACCACACUUUGUAUUACGUUUCGUCUCAUAUAUCAUGAAGAACAACCAAGUAUUUCAAGGAAAGCUGAGGCGAGGGCGAGUAGGUCCCUGAGGAGGACCACUGCAAAGGAGGUCAAGGAGAUUCUGGGGGCAACCUGCGAGCAACCUCUAAACCAGCCAGCAGGGACCUCUGACAAUGCCGCUGCCGGUGUCGACACUGGCAGCCAUGGCCGGCGCCGAGCUGACGAGUUCCAACCUGGAAGCUCAGCGCGAGGGGCUGGCAUUUGUUGCCGGCUUCGUGGCAUACAAGUGUCACCACAUCGACGCCACCCCCGGUAGCCGGUCUCCUGACUUCUCGGGCGCCGCUGGAGACACUGAACACCCUGCCGAACAGCUGAAUUGUGACGAUCAGCCGAGGCCAGCUGUUUGUUCUGUCACAAGCCUGGAUGGCCGCUGUGGAGGAGUUCGAGCGGAACUUCUGCCUGCUGAUGGGGGCAACUGCAGAUCAGGGGCCGCGAGUCAUAUGGCGUCUCAAGCUGUUCAUCGCCGUCAAGCAGCCUCAGCUCGGCACCCGCGUGUCCAGGAAGUUGGCGAGCACCCGUCUCCACCUCCCCCUUCGGUCCCUUAGCCUGACUGGACGAGGUCCGGCAGCUGAAAAGAGCCGACAGAAAAGUUGGCCAUCAUGCAAGGAGCUCUAGGUGAGCUGGUAAACCGGCUCGUGUAGCGACUACGAGUCGGCGUGGUGCUGUGUGACUCGGUGUGGUGCGGCCGGCUCUGUGUGGGUGCUGUGCGACUCGGCAUGGUGCCUCCGGCUGUGUGUAACGGCUUUGCGACUCGAUGUGGUACGGCCGGCUCUGUUGGUGCUGUGCAACUCGGCAUGGUGCCUCCGGCUGUGUGUAACGGCUGUGCGACUCGGUGUGGUACUGCCAGAUCUGUUGGUGCUGUGCAACUCGGCGUGGUGCCUCCGGCUGUGUGUAACGGCUGUGCGACUCGGUGUGGCACGGCCAGAUCUGUUGGUGCUGUGCAACUCGGCGUGGUGCCUCCGGCUGUGUAUAACGGCUGUGCGACUCGGUGUGGCACGGCCAGAUCUGUUGGUGCUGUGCAACUCGGCGUGGUGCCUCCGGCUGUGUGUAACGGCUGUGCGACUCGGUGUGGCACGGCCAGAUCUGUUGGUGCUGUGUGACUCGGCAUGGUGCCUCCGGCUGUGUGUAACGGCUGUGCGACUCACUGUGCGACUCGGCAUUGGGUAACGGCUGUG